CGUAGGUGGCAAGCGUUGUCCGGAUUUAUUGGGUUUAAAGGGUGCGUAGGCGGUCCUAUAAGUCAGUGCUGAAAUAUCACAGCUUAACUGUGAGGGUGGCAUUGAUACUGCAGGACUUGAGUAAAGUUGAGGUAGGCGGAAUUGACGGUGUAGCGGUGAAAUGCUUAGAUAUCGUCAAGAACACCGAUAGUGUAGACAGCUUACUAAGCUUUAACUGACGCUGAGGCACGAAAGUGUGGGGAUCAAACAGGAUUAGAUACCCUGGUAGUCCACACUGUAAACGUUGAAGACUCGCUGUUGGCGAUACACAGUCAGCGGCUGAGAGAAAUCGUUAAGUCUUCCACCUGGGGAGUACGCCGGCAACGGUG
rnacentral:rRNA from 1 species